rnacentral:rRNA from 1 species
GGUUCGAUUCCGGAGAGAGGGCCUGAGAAACGGCCCUCAGGUCUAAGGACACGCGGCAGGCGCGCAAAUUAUCCCCUGGCAACACUUUGCCGAGAUAGUGACAAUAAAUAACAAUGCAGGGCUCUUACGGGUCUUGCAAUUGGAAUGAGUACAAUUUAAAUCCCUUAACGAGGAUCAAUUGGAGGGCAAGUCUGGUGCCAGCAGCCGCGGUAAUUCCAGCUCCAAUAGCGUAUAUUAAAGUUGUUGCCGUUAAAAAGCUCGUAGUCGAACUUCGGGUCCUGUCCGCCGGUCCGCCUUCUUGGUGUGUACUUGUUGGAUGGGACCUUACCUCCUGGUGAACGGCGAUGUCCUUUACUGGGUGUCGUCGCAAACCAGGACGUUUACUUUGAAAAAAUUAGAGUGUUCAAAGCAGGCCUUUGCCCGAAUACAUUAGCAUGGAAUAAUAGAAUAGGACGCGCGUUCCCAUUUUGUUGGUUUCUGAGAUCGCCGUAAUGAUUAAUAGGGAUAGUUGGGGGCAUUUGUAUUCCGACGUCAGAGGUGAAAUUCUUGGAUUGCCGGAAGACAAACUACUGCGAAAGCAUUUGCCAAGGAUGUUUUCAUUGAUCAAGAACGAAGGAAGGGGGAUCGAAAACGAUUAGAUACCGUUGUAGUCUCUUCUGUAAACUAUGCCAAUUGGGGAUCGGCACAGGAUUUUUAAUGACUGUGUCGGCACCCGAAGAGAAAUCUUUAAAUGAGGUUCGGGGGGGAGUAUGGUCGCAAGGCUGAAACUUAAAGGAAUUGACGGAAGGGCACCACCAGGUGUGGAGCCUGCGGCUUAAUUUGACUCAACACGGGGAAACUCACCAGGUCCAGACACAAUAAGGAUUGACAGAUUGAUAGCUCUUUCUUGAUCUUGUGGUUGGUGGUGCAUGGCCGUUCUUAGUUGGUGGAGUGAUUUGUCUGGUUAAUUCCGAUAACGAACGAGACCUUAACCUGCUAAAUAGACCAGCCGGCUUUGGCUAGCUGCUGUCUUCUUAGAGGGACUAUCAGCGUUUAGCUGAUGGAAGUUUGAGGCAAUAACAGGUCUGUGAUGCCCUUAGAUGUUCUGGGCCGCACGCGCGCUACACUGACAGAGCCAGCGAGUCUACCACCUUUGCCGGAAGGCAUGGGUAAUCUUGUGAAACUCUGUCGUGAUGGGGAUAGAACAUUGCAAUUAUUGUUCUUCAACCGAGNAANACCUAGUAAGCGUGAUUCAUCAGAUCGCGUUGAUUACGUCCCUGCCCUUNACCCCC